GAGAGGAACUGCAAGUUCACAUGAUCCAACAGGGAGGUGGAGCUUCUCUCUUAAAGUGUUCAAAUUAGGUUCAUAUAGCCAUGCAUUGCCUUCACGUACAACUAACUCUUUACAGGUGAACAGAUUGGGGGUUGGGAAAUGCUCAGUAACCAGAAGCACAUGUAUUGGAUGAUACCCUUUAUUACUGGCAGCCAGCCUUGCUGCUGCAAGCUGCAAGUGAAAACGAGCUACAUCUCUAUACCAGUCCUUAGACUUCUUGCAUGGAAGCUUUACAACUAUGAGAUCAACCCUUGGUUUACCCGGAAACUGAAUUUUGGGCAGAGAAGGACAAGUGGGGACCUCAAAUUCUUCUUCUUCAUCU
rnacentral:misc_RNA from 1 species